rnacentral:rRNA from 1 species
ACGCUGGCGGCGUGCUUAACACAUGCAAGUCGAACGGGGUGUUUAUUUCGGUAAACACCAAGUGGCGAACGGGUGAGUAACGCGUAAGCAAUCUACCUUCAAGAUGGGGACAACACUUCGAAAGGGGUGCUAAUACCGAAUGAAUGUAAGAGUAUCGCAUGAGACACUUACUAAAGGAGGCCUCUGACAUAAGCUUCCGCUUGAAGAUGAGCUUGCGUCUGAUUAGCUAGUUGGUGAGGGUAAAGGCCCACCAAGGCGACGAUCAGUAGCCGGUCUGAGAGGAUGAACGGCCACAUUGGGACUGAGACACGGCCCAGACUCCUACGGGAGGCAGCAGUGGGGAAUCUUCCGCAAUGGGCGAAAGCCUGACGGAGCAACGCCGCGUGAACGAUGAAGGUCUUAGGAUCGUAAAGUUCUGUUGUUAGGGACGAAGGGUAAGAAUCAUAAUAAGGUUUUUAUUUGACGGUACCUAACGAGGAAGCCACGGCUAACUACGUGCCAGCAGCCGCGGUAAUACGUAGGCGGCAAGCGUUGUCCGGAAUUAUUGGGCGUAAAGGGAGCGCAGGCGGGAAACUAAGCGGAUCUUAAAAGUGCGGGGCUCAACCCCGUGAUGGGGUCCGAACUGGUUUUCUUGAGUGCAGGAGAGGAAAGCGGAAUUCCCAGUGUAGCGGUGAAAUGCGUAGAUAUUGGGAAGAACACCAGUGGCGAAGGCGGCUUUCUGGACUGUAACUGACGCUGAGGCUCGAAAGCUAGGGUAGCGAACGGGAUUAGAUACCCCGGUAGUCCUAGCCGUAAACGAUGGAUACUAGGUGUGGGAGGUAUCGACCCCUUCCGUGCCGGAGUUAACGCAAUAAGUAUCCCGCCUGGGGAGUACGGCCGCAAGGUUGAAACUCAA